AUUGAACGCUGGCGGAAUGCUUUACACAUGCAAGUCGAACGGUAGAGGGGGCAACCCCUCGAGAGUGGCGAACGGGUGAGUAAUAUAUCGGAACGUGCCCAGUCGUGGGGGAUAACGUAGCGAAAGUUACGCUAAUAUCGCAUACGAUCUAAGGAUGAAAGCGGGGGAUCGCAAGACCUCGCGCGAUCGGAGCGGCCGAUAUCAGAUUAGGUAGUUGGUGGGGUAAAGGCUCACCAAGCCAACGAUCUGUAGCUGGUCUGAGAGGACGACCAGCCACACUGGAACUGAGACACGGUCCAGACUCCUACGGGAGGCAGCAGUGGGGAAUUUUGGACAAUGGACGCAAGUCUGAUCCAGCCAUUCCGCGUGCAGGAUGAAGGCCCUCGGGUUGUAAACUGCUUUUGUACGGAACGAAAAGGUCUCUCUUAAUACGGGGGACUCAUGACGGUACCGUAAGAAUAAGCACCGGCUAACUACGUGCCAGCCGCCGCAGUAA
rnacentral:rRNA from 1 species